GACGAACGCUGGCGGCGUGCUUAACACAUGCAAGUCGAGCGGUAAGGCCCUUUCGGGGGUACACGAGCGGCGAACGGGUGAGUAACACGUGGGUAACCUGCCCUCAGCUCUGGGAUAAGCCUGGGAAACUGGGUCUAAUACUGGAUAUGACUCCACGGUGCAUGUCGUGGGGUGGAAAGCCUUGUGCGGCUGAGGAUGGGCCCGCGGCCUAUCAGCUUGUUGGUGGGGUGANGGCCUACCAAGGCGACGACGGGUAGCCGGCCUGAGAGGGCGACCGGCCACACUGGGACUGAGACACGGCCCAGACUCCUACGGGAGGCAGCAGUGGGGAAUCUUGCGCAAUGGGCGAAAGCCUGACGCAGCGACGCCGCGUGAGGGAUGACGGCCU
rnacentral:rRNA from 1 species